UACGAAGGGUGCAAGCGUUGCUCGGAAUUAUUGGGCGUAAAGGGUUGGUAGGUGGUCUUGUUUGUCUAAGGUGAAAUCCCAUGGCUUAACUGUGGAAGUGCCUUAGAAACGGCAAGACUAGAGUCCUAGAGGGGUUUGUGGAAUUCCCGGUGUAGCGGUGAAAUGCGUAGAUAUCAAGUGGAACACCAGUGGCGAAGGCGAGUCUCUAGACAUUUCCUGACGCUGAGGCACGAAAGCCAGGGGGAGCAAACGGG
rnacentral:rRNA from 1 species